rnacentral:tmRNA from 1 species
GGGGCUGUUUUGGCUUUCGACAGGAAUUUUAUAGCGAUGUAAGCAUACCAGCUGAUACCUGCAACUAUCAACAAACAAUAAACGCAAACAACGCGAAUUACGCUCCAGCUUACGCAAAAGUAGCGUAAGCUUAACCUCCUUUGGAGCCGGAUUUUAAGAUUUUUGCUAGGAGAUUUUAGAAUCUGUAAUUUAAUCUAGCUGCUUAAGUGCCUUUGUCUAGUGGCGCUUAAAAAGAUUUUAGGCUUUAAAUUUAGCUAUUUUGGGAGUUUUAAGGCUAGAUUUGAAAUCAUAAAACUUUCCUAAGUAUGUAGAAAGCAUUGUGUGGUAGAGUUUUUGGACUGGGGUUCAAGUCCCCACAGCUCCACCA